GGUGAGAUGGCCGAGCGGUCUAAGGCGCCAGACUAAGGUUAACGACCAGGAUGUUAGACAUCCAAUUAGGUAACCAAUCAUUGGUUACUUAAUAUCUGGUCCUCCGGGGCGUGGGUUCGAAUCCCACUCUCAUCA